UCAAAAUCAUCGCGGGCCUUCGUAUGAGGUGGAGAUGUUCAGAAAGAUGUACCCCACUACCCCAGUGUUUGGUGCCUUCGUCUACGGCGAGAUUUGCUUCGAGUUUAUGCCUCAUCCUCCCGGCAGCGUCGAAUGGCAAUUACAGCAAGAAAAAAA
rnacentral:lncRNA from 1 species